rnacentral:rRNA from 1 species
AGUGAACGCUGGCGGUAGGCCUAACACAUGCAAGUCGAACGGCAGCACAGUAAGAGCUUGCUCUUACGGGUGGCGAGUGGCGGACGGGUGAGGAAUACAUCGGAAUCUACUUUUUCGUGGGGGAUAACGUAGGGAAACUUACGCUAAUACCGCAUACGACCUACGGGUGAAAGCAGGGGAUCUUCGGACCUUGCGCGAUUGAAUGAGCCGAUGUCGGAUUAGCUAGUUGGCGGGGUAAAGGCCCACCAAGGCGACGAUCCGUAGCUGGUCUGAGAGGAUGAUCAGCCAAACUGGAACUGAGAAACGGGCCAGACUCCUACGGGAGGCAGCAGUGGGGAAUAUUGGACAAUGGGCGCAAGCCUGAUCCAGCCAUACCGCGUGGGUGAAGAAGGGCUUCGGGUUGUAAAGCCCUUUUGUUGGGAAAGAAAAGCAGCAGGUUAAUACCCCGCUGUUCUGAAGGUACCCAAAGAAUAAGCACCGGCUAACUUCGUG